AUUGAACGCUGGCGGCAUGCCUUACACAUGCAGGUCGAACGGCAGCACGGACUUCGGUCUGGUGGCGAGUGGCGAACGGGUGAGUAAUGUAUCGGAACGUACCUUUCAGUGGGGGAUAACGUAGCGAAAGUUACGCUAAUACCGCAUAUUCUGUGAGCAGGAAAGCAGGGGAUCGAAAGACCUUGCGCUGAUUGAGCGGCCGAUAUCAGAUUAGCUAGUUGGUGGGGUAAAGGCCUACCAAGGCGACGAUCUGUAGCGGGUCUGAGAGGAUGAUCCGCCACACUGGAACUGAGACACGGUCCAGACUCCUACGGGAGGCAGCAGUGGGGAAUUUUGGACAAUGGGGGCAACCCUGAUCCAGCCAUGCCGCGUGAGUGAAGAAGGCCUUCGGGUUGUAAAGCUCUUUCGGCCGGGAAGAAAUCGCAUAGGCUAAUACCCUGUGUGGAUGACGGUACCGGAAUAAGAAGCACCGGCUAACUACGUG
rnacentral:rRNA from 1 species